GCAGGGUGUACGUUCCGCUGAGGUGAAAUGUUCUGGUAUGUUCUGCUGAGGUGAAACGUUCUGCUGAGGUGAAACGUUCCGGAAAAGAACAGAUAGAAAUGUAAUGAAUAGAGCUGACACGACACCCUUUUCUGUCAGCAUAUCCUGACAAGCAUAUCCAUUCUACUUGAUGCAUUUCUAUCUGAUUGUUUUCUGUAACAUUUCCACCCUCCUGAACAGACCCCGGUUAGAAGUAGUGUCACAAGUCACAUUAUUUCACAAAUGGCACUGGAACAUUCUUGGUUCAUUUUCUAGCUUCGCCUUCUUCCGCUUGCCAAUACAGCCUUCAUUAUGAUGUCAUCAGCUGCCAUUUUCUCAUUGACCUCCACCUGCAUCCCCCAGCUCAUUUUGGAGUGGAGGGUCACCAACCUCAUCAGGGCUGGGUUUACUGGCAUGACAGUGAGACAUUGUUCUGUGUCUGUGUGUUGUGUGUUGUGUUUGUGUGUGUUUGCUACGUGUGUGCUUGUGCGUGUGUGAGUGAGAGAGUGUGCGUGUGUGAGUGCAUGUGUUCACACCUCAUCUACAGUAAGUUAUCUUCAGUGCCUUACACUGUACAGUAGGAACCAAAUCUUCUUUGUAGAUAGACAACACACACUGCACUGAAUAACGCUUUCAUAAUGUUUCCAUAAUGUUUUCUCUCCAACUGUUCUCUUCUCUCCAUCCAGUAUUGGCUCACCUACCAUCCUAUUCCUUCUCUCUCUGUGAUCGACGAGUAAGGUCUGGAGGGAGGGCAUGGGUGAAUGAAUAGGUGAUCGUUGUGUUGGGUCUGUCAUCAUUCUCUUUUUCUCUCUGUACAUUUGCUCUGUAAACUCUUCCUGUGUACAUCUUCCAUAAACUUUCUGAAACAA